rnacentral:rRNA from 1 species
UACAGAGGUCUCAAGCGUUGUUCGGAUUCAUUGGGCGUAAAGGGUGCGUAGGCGGCUUUUUAAGUCAGGGGUGAAAUCCUGGAGCUCAACUCCAGAACUGCCUUUGAUACUGAGAGCUUGAGUCCGGGAGAGGUGAGUGGAACUGCGAGUGUAGAGGUGAAAUUCGUAGAUAUCGCAAGAACACCAGUGGCGAAGGCGGCUCACUGGCCCGGUACUGACGCUGAGGUGCGAAAGCGUGGGGAGCAAACAGG